rnacentral:ncRNA from 1 species
CCUGCGGGAGAGACUGAACAUGUUUCAGCGCCGAAGGAGCAACCGCCCCGGAAACUCUCAGGCAAAAGGACCGCAUGGA